rnacentral:rRNA from 1 species
UACGUAGGUGGCAAGCGUUGUCCGGAAUUAUUGGGCGUAAAGCGCGCGUAGGCGGUUUCUUAAGUCUGAUGUGAAAGCCCACGGCUCAACCGUGGAGGGUCGUUGGAAACUGGUAAACUUGAGUGCAGAAGAGGAAAGUGGAAUUCCAUGUGUAGCGGUGAAAUGCGUAGAGAUAUGGAGGAACACCAGUGGCGAAGGCGGCUUUCUGGUCUGUAACUGACGCUGAGGUGCGAAAGCGUGGGGAGCAAACAGG